AUUGAACGCUGGCGGCAGGCCUAACACAUGCAGGUCGAGCGGUUGAGGUAGCUUGCUACCGAUGCAGCGGCGAACGGGUGAGUAAUACAUGGGAAUCUGCCUGGUAGUGGGGGACAACGUUUCGAAAGGAACGCUAAUACCGCAUACGCCCUACGGGGGAAAGGGGGGGAUCGCAAGACCUCUCGCUAUCAGAUGAGCCCAUGUCAGAUUAGCUAGUUGGUGAGGUAAAGGCUCACCAAGGCGACGAUCUGUAACUGGUCUGAGAGGAUGAUCAGUCACACUGGAACUGAGACACGGUCCAGACUCCUACGGGAGGCAGCAGUGGGGAAUAUUGGACAAUGGGGGCAACCCUGAUCCAGCCAUGCCGCGUGUGUGAAGAAGGCCUUAGGGUUGUAAAGCACUUUCAGUGGGGAGAAAGGUGAUUCACCUAAUACGUGAGUCAAUUGAUGCUACCCACAGGAGAAGCACCGGCUAACUCCGUGCCAGCCGCCGCCGUAA
rnacentral:rRNA from 1 species